UACGAAGGGGGCUAGCGUUGUUCGGAAUCACUGGGCGUAAAGCGCGCGCAGGUGGUUUGUUAAGUCAGAAGUGAAAGCCCAGGGCUUAACCCUGGAACGGCUUUUGAUACUGGCAGACUAGAGUCUGGGAGGGGAUAGCGGAAUUCCGAGUGUAGAGGUGAAAUUCGUAGAUAUUCGGAGGAACACCAAUGGCGAAGGCAGCUAUCUGGAACAUGACUGACACUGAGGCGCGAAAGCGUGGGGAGCAAACAGG
rnacentral:rRNA from 1 species